AGCGAGAGAGAGAGAGAGAGAGAGAGAGAGAGAGAGAGAGAAAAAAAGAGAGAGAGAGAGAGAGAGAGAGAUAUUUGAUUUAUUAGAGAAUAUUCGUUUGAUAUAUUUAGGGAAAUUUGUUGCAUUUAGAAAAUGAUAAUUAGCGUGCCUUUUUUAGGUUGAAAAAAAAAAUGUAGAAAUAUAUAAUACUAUAUUGAGAUAAUCGUUGGUGUUUAUUGAUAGUAGAUAAAGAAUAAUACGUUGGUAUAAUAUAUGAUAGGGAUUAAGUUUUCUUCAUUAGGACGAAGAAUUGAAAAUAGAUUAAGAAAGUCUGCUGUGAUUUGAUAAUACGUGAAUAUUUUAUCAGAUACGGAUGAUAGUUCAUUUCGUUUCAUUCGAUUAAGAAAUUUAACGGUUAUUUCGUAAUUAUAUAUAAUGAAGUGUUAUAUAUAACGGACAAUUUUAACGAAACCAAGUGGCAAUUAGCUGCUUAACUUCUUGUGUUGGAAAUAUUAAAAGAAUAUAUUUGAGAAAAGAAAGAAGAAAAA